GAAAUGCGAUAAGUAAUGUGAAUUGCAGAAUUCAGUGAAUCAUCGAAUCUUUGAACGCACCUUGCGCUCCUUGGUAUUCCGAGGAGCAUGCCUGUUUGAGUGUCAUGGAAUUCUCAACUCUAUUUGCUUUUGUGAAUAGAGCUUGGAUUUGGAGGUUUAUUGCUGGUACUUGUGAUCGGCACCUCUUGAAUGCAUUAGCUCGAACCUUUGCGGAUCAGCUAUCGGUGUGAUAAUUGUCUACGCCGUUGCAGUGAAGCAUAUCAAUGGGCUCGGCUUCCAAUCGUCCUUUACUGGACAAUGACUUUGACCUUUGACCUCAAAUCAGGUAGGAUUACCCGCUGAACUUAAGC
rnacentral:misc_RNA from 1 species